ACGCUGGCGGCGUGCCUAAUACAUGCAAGUAGAACGCUGAAGAGAGGAGCUUGCUCUUCUUGGAUGAGUUGCGAACGGGUGAGUAACGCGUAGGUAACCUGCCUUGUAGCGGGGGAUAACUAUUGGAAACGAUAGCUAAUACCGCAUAACAAUAGGUGACACAUGUCAUUUAUUUGAAAGGGGCAAUUGCUCCACUACAAGAUGGACCUGCGUUGUAUUAGCUAGUAGGUGAGGUAACGGCUCACCUAGGCGACGAUACAUAGCCGACCUGAGAGGGUGAUCGGCCACACUGGGACUGAGACACGGCCCAGACUCCUACGGGAGGCAGCAGUAGGGAAUCUUCGGCAAUGGGGGCAACCCUGACCGAGCAACGCCGCGUGAGUGAAGAAGGUUUUCGGAUCGUAAAGCUCUGUUGUAAGUCUAGAACGAGUGUGAGAGUGGAAAGUUCACACUGUGACGGUAGCUUACCAGAAAGGGACGGCUAACUACGUGCCAGCAGCCGCGGUAAUACGUAGGUCCCGAGCGUUGUCCGGAUUUAUUGGGCGUAAAGCGAGCGCAGGCGGUUUGAUAAGUCUGAAGUUAAAGGCUGUGGCUCAACCAUAGUUCGCUUUGGAAACUGUCAAACUUGAGUGCAGAAGGGGAGAGUGGAAUUCCAUGUGUAGCGGUGAAAUGCGUAGAUAUAUGGAGGAACACCGGUGGCGAAAGCGGCUCUCUGGUCUGUAACUGACGCUGAGGCUCGAAAGCGUGGGGAGCGAACAGGAUUAGAUACCCUGGUAGUCCACGCCGUAAACGAUGAGUGCUAGGUGUUGGAUCCUUUCCGGGAUUCAGUGCCGCAGCUAACGCAUUAAGCACUCCGCCUGGGGAGUACGACCGCAAGGUUGAAACUCAAAGGAAUUGACGGGGGCCCGCA
rnacentral:rRNA from 1 species